GUAUGUCACUUUGAUAAAUACUAAGAAAAUAAGAGUAUAAAAGAAUUUAAAUGACCUCUAAGCUACCCAGAGAUAACCAUUGUUUCCUUUGAAAAUGCGUAACAAAAUUGGAGUUGAAGUUUAAAAACUGCAUGAUAUACUGUCAUGUAACGUGAUUCUUACCAUUUUUUAUUGUGUAUUUAAGAUACAGUUUUUGGUGUCAAUGUGUUGAAUAAGGGGUCUCUAUUUCCUUCAACCUUUCCCCACUCCCCACUUUGAAAUCCCUUGCUUCUGUUAGAAAUCCACAUUAAGCUACAUACUAGAAGUGUGAUUUUCAUCAUCCAUAUCAAGGAGAUAACCAACAGUAGUGACCCUCAUAGGAUUGUUGUGAGGAUUAAAAUGGACAAGCUGUUUAGAUGAUCGGACAAGGACUGGACAUCUGGUCAAAUUUGAGCCAAUUAGAUGAUUUCUCCCAAGAAUUUGGAACUGGAAAGUGAUGUCUUCGGAGGUUGCAUUUGGAACAUGCAUGUGAAGCAGAAAAUAAAGCAAUGGUGAGAGAGUGUACAACCUCAGAAGAAAAAGAUGAGAACAGCUGCCUUGAUUGUUGAUAAUUUUGCAGUUUUUGUUCCAAUGUUUUGUGCUUGUCUGCAUUUCCUGCUCCUGGGUUCCAUAAGAUGCCCUUAAAACCUUACAGAGAGACCCCCCACUUCCACCUUUAGUUUUUUAAAUUUUGAGGCUCUUCCUUGCUACCAAAUAAUGCCAAAUAAAACCAGCUGAGGUACAAUUACUUUUUGCAUAAAAUACAGUGGCUUGACAUAGUUGAUGACUUGGUUCUGUAGAAAAUAUAAAGUCACGGUUGGUGCCAGAUGAGUCAGGUUUAGAUGAGGGAGAACUUAGAAUGGAGCCUGAAUGAGUCAGAAAGGGUGAGCCUUGAAGUAAAAUGUGCCCAAGAGAACGGAUUAAAAGGCCUAGAAGUUCAUCUGCAGUUUGAGGACACCGUUAUCAAAGGACUGGGUCUAUGUGUCUGUGUUUGGUCUUAAGGAAUAUUGACUUUCUGCCAACAUAAUAGUGUUUAUAGCUUUGUAGUUAAUAUCACACUACACAGUGUUCCCUUUAUAUUUUCAUCAUGUAUUGGGACUUGGAUUCAAGUCCUAUCUUUUAAUUGUGUUAACCCAAUUACUUAGUCUUACUCACACUCUGACGCUUUAAAAAUUCUUAGUUAAUUCCAUCUUUCCCAUUUUUAUCCUUGGUAACUUUCUGUGGCUUUUUCAUCUUGAAUCAUUGAAUGAAGAUUAAACCUUUCAGAGUAACGUGUAGUGCAUAGAUUUUGGACUUAGGACACAAACUCGCCUGUGUCCAUCUCUACUGCUUACCAGCUGUAUGACCUUGGACUCUACCUUUCCACUCUGCACUUCAGUUUUCUAAUCUGUAAAACAGGGAUAAUAGCAUCAUCUUCCUAAGGGUGAUGGAGGAGAUUAAAUAAGUUAGUGCAUGUAAACCACUUCCCACUGUACCUGGCACAUGGUUAAGUAUUAGUUAAUGCAAGCCUUGGAGAAAUCAAUACUCUUCCCAUACUUGGAGAUAAUUAUCCCCAUCUUGUGUUAAUGUGUUCAUUCACUUUGAUCCACCUACUUGUCUGUCAGCUAACAUUUCUUCAUAAAAUUGGUAGUAUUUGUAUUGUGCCUUUUUAUUAUGAAACAUUUUCAAACAUACAGAAAAAAUAUAUAGGAAAUAUAACAAAUACCUGUGUGUCCACCAUCCAGGUUUUUCAGUCUUAUCAUUCUAAACGUAUUUGCUUGUUUCUUUUGAAAAGAAAAGAUUACAGCUGUUGUUAAAAUCUGUAUAGCCCUGUCUCAUUCCAUUUCUCUCCU
ensembl:lncRNA